AAGUGGCAACAAAUUUCAAAUCAAGGGUAAUUUAGUCAUUUUGUCUUAGUGGAGCAUUACUAAUUAGCUACGUGGCUUUUACUCCUACCGCCACCUUCCUCUUCCCCCUCAAUUGAAGAGCCAACUUUCCACCGCUGGUUUUCUUCUCCGUUCGGUCUUACAUGCCCUGAAUUUUCCUUCAUUUGAAAUAAUUUUUUUUCCUCUUCUUAACUAUUUCUUAGUUCAUUAGUCAUGUGUUUAGGAAUUCAUCAAAUUCUUAAAUUUCAGAGGUCCUGUUUCUUGAUUUUUGCAGGAUAUGUUGUUGGUGUACGAUAAAGAUGCUAAUGAAUUCGGAUUUUAGAAAAGGAAACCAAGGCUAUGGCGGUUGUCCGAAUCACCUUAUUCCAGGUAAUAUCUCUAUAUUCCGGUUUUCCAAUUCUCAUGCUAUAUGUGUGUGUCUCUCGUGAUUUUUAUAUGUGGGUGUAUUCCUUGUGAAACUCAAGUCUACUAAGUGUUCGAGUAUGGAAGCUGAGAAAUUGCAUUUGCUUCUGCAGUAACUUUAAAUAGUUCUUCCGAUAAAAGAAACAUGUUUUAUUUGAUAUAUAGCGGGUAAGAAAAAUGAUGUGGUAGAAUAGUUGAACUUCCAUUACAUACUUGAUUCGUGAUCUAAAUGCUGGAAGAAAGAUCCUUUCUUUUGUGCUUGUUUUGUGUAAGUCCACUUGAGAACUUGAAGUGUGUUGCUGUACGGAGUAGUGUUCGUUA